GGAUUAGAUACCCUGGUAGUCCAUGCCGUAAACGUUGGGAACUAGAUGUAAGGCCUGUUCCACGGGUUCUGUGUCGUAGCUAACGCAUUAAGUUCCCCGCCUGGGGAGUACGGCCGCAAGGCUAAAACUCAAAGGAAUUGACGGGGGCCCGCACAAGCGGCGGAGCAUGCGGAUUAAUUCGAUGCAACGCGAAGAACCUUACCAAGGCUUGACAUAUACGAGAACGGGCGAGAGAUCGUCAACUCUUUGGACACUCGUAUACAGGUGGUGCAUGGUUGUCGUCAGCUCGUGCCG
rnacentral:rRNA from 1 species